rnacentral:rRNA from 1 species
UACAGAGACUGCAAGCGUUAUUCGGAUUCACUGGGCGUAAAGGGUUCGUAGGUGGCCACUUAAGUCAGACGUGAAAUCCCUCAGCUUAACUGGGGAACUGCGUCUGAUACUGAGUGGCUUGAGUGCAGGAGAGGAAUGCGGAAUUCCAGGUGUAGCGGUGAAAUGCGUAGAUAUCUGGAGGAACACCGGUGGCGAAGGCGGCAUUCUGGACUGUAACUGACACUGAGGAACGAAAGCCAGGGGAGCAAACGGG